AACCGAAAGGAGGACCCCUCCCGGACUCCUACAAAGGCCAAACUCCGACCACUACCGAGCCUCGAUCAACAGAUCCGCGCCCCUUGGCAGAUCACAAUAACAACCAUGAUCCUGUUCCACUUCCUGUAGCAGAUUCCGUGCGGCUCCAUCACCCCCUGCGGCGGACCCAUUACUCUCUGACAGGCUGUGUCAACGGCCACGAUGCUGCUCCAUUCCCUGCGGCAGGUGCUGCACGAUCCCACUACUCGCUGACAACUAGCGGCAACGGACGCCGCUCCACUACCUGCAACAGGCCCUACGUGGCGGGCUAUGACGAUAGCCACGGGUCUACCCCACUAUCUUUCGCAAUCAAUUCCCCUGACCAUGGGCGGCCCACUACCAGGCGGUUACAAACGUCGCCAUCAAUCCGUUACCUCCUCCGCCUAUAAAAGGG
rnacentral:lncRNA from 1 species